AUACGUAGGGGGCGAGCGUUGUCCGGAAUGAUUGGGCAUAAAGGGCGCGUAGGCGGCCCGGUAAGUCUGGAGUGAAAGUCCUGUGUUUAAGAUGGGAAUUGCUUUGGAUACUGUCGGGCUUGAGUGUAGGAGAGGGUAGUGGAAUUCCCAGUGUAGCGGUGAAAUGCGUAGAGAUCGGGAGGAACACCAGUGGCGAAGGCGACUACCUGGCCCAUUCUUGACGCUGAGGCGCGAAAGCUAGGGGAGCGAACGGGAUUAGAAACCCUAGUAGUCC
rnacentral:rRNA from 1 species